AUUGAACGCUGGCGGCAGGCUUAACACAUGCAAGUCGAGCGGAGUGAUGGUGCUUGCACUAUCACUUAGCGGCGGACGGGUGAGUAAUGCUUAGGAGUCUGCCUAUUAGUGGGGGACAACAUCUCGAAAGGGAUGCUAAUACCGCAUACGUCCUACGAGAGAAAGCAGGGGAUCACUUGUGACCUUGCGCUAAUAGAUGAGCCUAAGUCGGAUUAGCUAGUUGGUGGGGUAAAGGCCUACCAAGGCGACGAUCUGUAGCGGGUCUGAGAGGAUGAUCCGCCACACUGGGACUGAGACACGGCCCAGACUCCUACGGGAGGCAGCAGUGGGGAAUAUUGGACAAUGGGGGGAACCCUGAUCCAGCCAUGCCGCGUGUGUGAAGAAGGCCUUAUGGUUGUAAAGCACUUUAAGCGAGGAGGAGGCUCUUUUGGUUAAUACCCAAGAUGAGUGGACGUUACUCGCAGAAUAAGCACCGGCUAACUCUGUGCCAGCCGCCGCAGUAACAC
rnacentral:rRNA from 1 species